GAAAGGAAACAUUCUGCUUUUGCAUCCCAGGAAAACUCCUUCAAGAAGUACCCUGGGCUAGAGCAGUAAUUUAGCAGUCUCUGCUAAGACUAACAAUUUUAGUCUUAGCAGAGAAGAUUUUCCCACGACAGAGUUGGCUUUUCUUAGGUUAACUCGUGGUAUUUUAACUAGGUAGCAAACCAGAGGGUGGAGGAGUAAGGACAUACCUGCAGGUAGAAGUCUGAUGUGCAAUGAGAGCUCACCUUCAGUUUUUUUCACACAAGAUUGUGUCCAGCCCCUUCUCCUUUUACUCCAUGCAGUGCCUGGCCUGUGCAGGGACCCAGGUCAAUGCAACAGCUAAAGCUUUCACGGCAGCAGAGUUUAUACUCCUCGGAAAAUCACCUCAGGUUUCCUGGCUCUGUGCAGGCAAGGUCUUUAUAUCUGACAAAAUAUUUUAGUUCCCACUGGAAUCUGGUGUGCAGAGAUCCCUAGAAAUAGAGUCAGGUCAAGUACCAUAAGUUUUUGAGAAGUUGGGCCAUGCUUCUAAACUAUAUAAAAGAGAUAGGCUAAGAGCUCCAUAACCCAGAAGUGUGAGGAAAGGAAACUGGUAGGACUGCUUUGAUUUACCCCAUUUGGUGUUGCUGGUGCCAAAAGGUCUUGACAGUAUAUUAUUGCAUUCACAGUCUUUGUACACCAAGGAUCCCAAGCUAUAAUUUGAGUUUUUCCCUUAUUAUUUGUGUGUUCUUCUUGCUCUUUCACACAGAAACUGCUCAUCCAGGGAUUUAGGAGAGACCACAUCCCAGGAUAGGUGAGAGUCUGGGAAACCCUGCUCAGGGAGUUUGGUGCAGUUGUGGACAGCAGUUUGCCCUGUUUGUUCUUCAGCCUAAUGUGUGUGUUUAAGAGGGAAGGGUGAAAGCACAUGGUGCAUACUGCAGCAGAGCAUCUCCUCUCCAUGCACAGAUCCACCUGGGGAAUGGAGACUCUCUCCUCUCUGAUGACAAGUAACAGAUCUUUGCCCUGCUGCUGCAUGUCUGUGCCAUGGCAGGUUGGUUGGGGUGUGAUUUCAGCCCCUGCUGCUGCAGUCAGCUCCUGGAUUCCCCCUGUGGCUGCAGCCUGGGCAGAGCAGUCAGUAAAUGUAAGCUGCCCACGCACAUCAGUGGAUGUGCCCAACCCUGCCCAGCUCCAUGCAGUGCAUUCCAGUGCUCUGGGGCCCUGGGGAUGCACAUCCUUCCCUCCAGCUCCAGGGGACCCUGAGGAAAGCUCUUCAGGAGCACUCAGCACUCACUGCCUCUCAGUGAAAGCUGUUUCUGCAGGGUAGGUCACUCCAUUUAGGUCCCCCGUGGCUAAACCUGUGUAUUGGUCUUAUGCCUUUUCCCCCCAGAGAAGGAAGUCCUAGGAACUCAGAGGAAUUGCCUGGUGUGUCUGCCAGAUGGGUCAGGAGAGGUACAAGCUGUGCACAGCCUUCAGCAGCAGCUCUGUGGUUUCCCUUCCAGCACAGCCAAGGGGUGAUUGGGGUGAGGGGCAGGGGUAGAAUGUCCCACUCACACAGGACCAGGCAUAUUGUCAUCCUCCUCUGCCCCUUCCCUCCAGCCCCUUGGCAGCAGGGACUCUGGGCAGGGAGCACAGGUUAGCAGUGGAGGGCAGCUCUGCAGGAGUGGUUUGAUGAACCUUUAGCAAUAGCAGGGUAAGGACACAUGCCCCUGUGAUCUUGGAGUGCCUCGUGAUGGCUGAGCUACCUCGCUGCAGGAGGAAAUGACUCACAUUCCCAUGGCCAGCUGGCCUUGGGGCAGCACCCUCCAGCCUGCAAGGGGCAACAAAAAAUCCACUUACAGGGAGUGCCUUCCUUACUGCAGACUGCCAAGAGCAAGCAGCUGCUUUCGCUGCAGAGUUACCCUUACCUGGGUUUCCUGUUGGAACAAAAACACAGCACGCUCUCAAACCCCAGACUGUGUGAGAAGGAGGGUGCAGAGGUGUGGGACAGAUGAGUGUGCUGCAUUCCACUUCCCCUUCAGCACAGCUCACGCUGUUUUCAGAAUGAUGUGUCUUGCAUUUGGAAGCACCAUCAGUCCUGGGAUAAUGGAGAAAAGGCUUAGGUUGUGUGGGUUUAUUCACAUAAUUUAAUUUUUUUUUUUACCCUUUUUGUCGUGCAUGGAAGACCAACAGGAACAAGUGAAACCACAGAGUUUUCUUUUGUUCCUGCCUCGGCUCUGGCCCAAAAUGGAGCUGUGGGGGGUGUGUGUCUAUAACCAAUCCUUGAGAAAGCAGGUGUGCAGUCAGAAAAGAGAGGCUCGCUCUCAAGAUCCAUGGGUCUGCAUAAAAUGAGGUUCAGACCAAGCAGCUUUCUUUUCUAAGGGCACACUGGGAGACUGGUAAAAAGCACAACCAGGAAGACCUGGCUCUGCCUUCAGGGGCUUCUCUUGCUGCAAAUUGAGCCAUCCCAGUAUAGCCUGGGCUGUUGCAAAAGAGGUCAGAAAGUUUGAAGAUUUUAUUUAGAAAGGUAACAAACUAAAGCCAGGAGUGCUCCUGAGAUUACCUGUACCCUCAGAUUGCGUUAGGAGCAUCUCACCUGUGCGUACACUGGCCGCUCACCUUCCCCCUGCAGCUUCACCACCUCCCUCUUUGUUUUCCUCUCCUCAGGGCGGGCUGGAGAUGGUGGACCACCUUGCAAACACCGAGAUCAACAGCCAGCGCAUUGCUGCUGUGGAAAACUGCUUUGGGGCUUCUGGCCAGCCCCUGGCCUUGCCAGGCAGGGUCCUGCUGGGAGAAGGGAUUUUAACCAAAGAAUGCCGCAAGAAACCGAAGCCUCGCAUAUUUUUCCUUUUCAACGACAUCCUCGUCUACGGCAGCAUAAUCAUCAACAAGAGGAAGUACAACUCCCAGCACAUCAUCCCCCUUGAAGAUGUCACUCUGGAGACGCUGCCAGACACCUUGCAGAUGAAGAACCGCUGGAUGAUUAAAACCUCCAAGAAGUCCUUUGUGGUUUCUGCAGCCUCGCUGACGGAGAGGAAGGAGUGGAUCAGCCAUCUGGAGGAGUGCAUCCGGCACCUGCUGAGCAAGACGGGCCGGCAGCCGUGCCGGGAGCCCGCGGCCCCCUGGAUCCCCGACAAGGCCACGGACAUCUGCAUGCGCUGCACGCACACCAAGUUCUCCGCGCUGACCCGCCGGCACCACUGCCGCAAGUGCGGCUUCGUGGUGUGCGCGGACUGCUCCCGCCACCGCUUCCUGAUGCCCCGCCUGUCCCCCAAGCCCCUCAGGGUCUGCAGCCUGUGCUACAGGCAGCUGCUGGCCGAGGAGAAGAAGGGGGCCGAGGAUGGUGGCAGGCAGGAGCCGCUCCGCGCCGCCGUGCAGGGCUACGAGCCCUCCAGCGAUGACAGCGACAGGUCUGACGAGGACAAGGCUGAGCAGUGGCCAGCAGACGCAGAGUUUUAUACCUCAGAAGUAUCCUGGUCGUCUUUCCACAGCUGACCUCCCUGGGAGCUGCUGGUGUUUAGGCACUGGGACCAAUCCCUGGCCUCCGGUGCGUGUCCUUCCCCGUGCUUUCUCUGAAGGCCGUGCCUGGGGAGGUGGAUCUUGGCCCGUGUGUGGUGUCAGAGCAGAGGUGAGGUUACCCCUCUGAGAACGUCUCAAACGUGUGAGCACAGAGAGAACGGCUCAGUGAAGAGCACUGAGGACUGGGACAGCGCCCUGUAGAUCAGUCUUGGCCAAGUGAGCUCACCUUUGGUGCCUUAUUCUUCCUCUCUGCUGAAACACAGCAAUGUGAACUUCUUGUUUGAAGUGUUUUGAGAUUGGCUCUUGGGAGAAAAAGGAGCAAGAAAUCCCAGAGCUGAACAUAUUUGCCUGCUCACAGUGUGUUCCUCUGUCAGGGCAAGGGCCACUCUGGCUGCCACUUUCCACGAGCAUUCUGAGAUUCUCACUGCAAGCGUGCCAGCCUGCGGGAGCAGCUGCUCAUCCCUGCACAGUGGGGCCAGCACUGGCUCCUGUCUUCACCUGCAUCUCUCAAGGUUGCAAACACUAAGAGAAUGGUGCUUGGAGUGCCAGGAGCUUGUGGGAGGCUCAGUGUGAGCAGCCCUAGCAAAGCACUGGAGCAUCCAGCUCUCUCACAUGGAAAGAGGCCAUGCCAGUGGUAUGGGGCCAGGAGGGGGAAGGGACAGGGAAAAUGACACUGAGCAGUGAAAUGCAGAGGGAGGGAGGUACUGCAGUUCACUCAGUUAAGUGCAGAGCCCACAUCUCAAACACAGGCAGUUAUACCAGAUUACCAGAAACUUGAAAAACUCAAGCCUAUCAGGGAAGACUUAUUAAAAGUCUUUAAAAAUCCAGGAAAGAACCCCCAAAUUAAGAUCCUGUGAAGUACAGCACUUCCCCUUCCCUCCUGGGCUGCUGCCCAAGGCAUCAGAUUCUCACUUGUGGGCUCACCUCCUGCCUUAUCAGUCCCACGAGUCCAAAGUUAAGGUCAUUUUUGUACUUCAAGGAUGGGAGCCAAAGACUUCACUUGAGAUCAACUCUAAAGUUCAAACUCAGUUAGAAAUAAACUGUGUUUAUUCAAGUAUUCUAUCAUAAUGUAGCGUGGGAGUAAAUAUAGAGGAAAUCAGACAACAGCAAUUGUUUUGCAGCUGACAUUUCUACAAACUCCAUUAUUACUUUUAGUAUAUUUUUAUACUGUGUAUUUUGUGGUCUGAAAAAGCAACAUGGCUGGGAAUACACUGCCAAUGUUCUAAAAUGUUGCCUUACCAUGACCUGUUACAAGCAGUGCAUUGCUUGACAGAUGGCCAUGUGUUUUUUUUUAAAUUUCAGUUCAAGAUAAUUAUUCUUACUGUCUUUUAUAAACUGCUACUGUUCCAGUGAAUUUGUAUCACUUGACUGUGUGUGAAUAAAGAUAUGGCCAACAGGAAGCAGCCAGGAAAACAGGACUAUAAAACAUGUUAUUAUUGAACAAGAGCCUUAACAAGAGCUGGGAUCCAGGCUGCCAGCCCAGCAAAGUUGUGGCUCCUCAGCUGGGGGGAGACUGCUCUGGUUUCUAUUUACUGCUCAAAGGUAAGGGCAUCAAAUCUGAUGCUUCCUUUCUAUUUAUACCAUCUGACAGACUUUUCCCAAGUCUUCUGCAGUCCCCUGCAGUAGUCUGUAUUAAUUGGAACGGUGUUUUUCCGGUGGGGACACAGCUCAGAGUGGGCCAGCAAACCUUAUGACCUAAGCAGAUGUUUUUGGGCUUUAAAGCAAUAAGUACACUGAGUUCUGUUUUUUCCAUCCCUCUCCAGGCUUAGUUCCUAACUCUGCACAGCAGUGAUUGUUUUUACAAUGCCUCCCACCCACCAGAAGGGUGUACAUGCUAUGCAAACAGAAAAUGACCUUAAAAAUAAACAGCCAUUAGAGUGGCUCAAGAGCCAAAAAUAGCCCAGCCGCUGAAUCUGCAUCCAAUCAGAAAUGUAUGGCAGUUUCAAACCUAAUCCUUAGUUCUAUAGAGAUCAGCUUACUUCAUAUGCUCAAAGGUCUUACUAGUGCCAGCCCCAAAAGACCUAUGAACUGCUUUUGUGCUGUAAUGAGGGACAGGCACGCCUCUAAAGAAUGCCUUCUUGGUGAGCAAGAGCUUUUCUUAAUCACAGCAGGGGAAAAAAAAAUCAGAAAAAACCAAACCAACCACCAAAAACAACCCAGCCCCUUUUUUCGGUGCAUGCUGCUGAUGGCUUUUGGGGCCAUCACACCUUCCACCAACUGGGAGCCCCAAGAAACCAAGAAGUUCUUAAAUUUUAAUGCCUGUGUAAAAGGAUCCUGCCCAGGAAAACAUGGGGAAAUUCAAACAAAGCCUCUCCCUCACUUCCUGAAGUUGUGUUGUGGAGCUCAGCACUGGGAUUAGAGCCUGGGGCUCCUGGCUUCUGGCCUGCUGAACACAUGGGUUUUAAAUCACAGGCUGUGUGCUGUUACACUCCAGCCUGGAGCUUUCCAGCCUGACUCUAUCUCCAGUGCAUUAAUAGGGCAUUUCCUGAUGGUUUGUGCUCUUUCUGUUUUAGCUGAAUAAAGGCCUUACCAGAGAUUCACGUGGCUGGAAGAGCAGCAGCUCCGGUGCUCACCUUGGGGAGCAGCUGCAGGCUGGAGGGUGUGUGGGGUCACAGCCUCCUCCUGCAGGGCUCCCAGACAUGGGUAUGGGGAUCAUGUGCCAGAAGAGGCUCCUUGCUGAACCCCUGCCUGAAGGUGUCACAGCCCAAAGGGCACAGCUUUGAAGGUGUCCCCACUGCACACCAAAGUUGGUUAGAAGGGGAGGAGGAGGAGGAUGGCACUGGUGCAGCAGCCAGCCAUGGAAGCUUAAGAGAAGGCCAUGGACCUUUAAGAAUGGUGCUGGCAGGAAGAAGAUGUUACACUGCUGUCCCAUCCACGGUGGACACAAAAGAGCUGCAAGAAACCCUUGCCCAAGAGCUGUGUGCUGGAGAUGGUGUCCAGGGCAGCCAGAGAGGAGCACAGGCUGCACACCAGGGUGUGAAGCACUGCAGGGGCAGUACCCAGCCAGCUCUGCUUUGUGUUCUGUGUCACAGGCAGGAACAGCCCUGGUGCCAUGUAUGGGAGGGAGCCUCUCCUGCCUGUGACCCUGCUCACACAACCUCCAACCACAGCCAGUGCUGCAGUCCUGAGCUGCAGCUGGAGGAGAGGAGGCAGGCAGAGAGGCAGGGAGGUGGUGUGAAGUGCUGCUGAACCCCGAGCAGCACCAAAGCUGGCAUUUGACUCCAGCUCCGCUAAGGGCUGGAAAUGCAAAGCAGCAAUGAGCAGGUUUCCUGUGAACCUCUCGUGGAGAUGUUCACAGCCCAGAGCAAGUCACACAAGCUCCCCAGUCUGUGACUGUAGGAAGGGGAGAAAAAGAGGAGGGUAGUAAAUAAAAGGUUUUACUUUAUCCAAGCUCUAUUGUGAAGCACUUCUGCUGCACACAGCCUGGGGCAGAGCUGCUGCCAGCAGCCAUCCUGCUACCUGCGACCCUGCUGCCCAGACUGCCCCGUGCAGCAGGGGAUUGCUGAGCUUUGGCCAAGCUCUCCUUUCCUAAAAUCAUAAAUACAAUGUGUUUUGGUGACAACU